UACAGAGGUCUCAAGCGUUGUUCGGAUUCAUUGGGCGUAAAGGGUGCGUAGGCGGCGCGGUAAGUCGGGUGUGAAAUCUCGGAGCUUAACUCCGAAACUGCAUUUGAUACUGGCGUGCUUGAGGACUGGAGAGGAGACUGGAAUUCAUGGUGUAGCAGUGAAAUGCGUAGAGAUCGUAAGGAAGACCAGUGGCGAAGGCGGGUCUCUGGACAGUUCCUGACACUGAGGCACGAAGGCCAGGGGAGCAAACGGG
rnacentral:rRNA from 1 species